CCCAGGGCGGCCGCGGAGUUGAGUUCGUGCCGGGCGGUGGCGAGGAGGCGGCUCUCGUACACCGGGCAGUACACGGGGGUCUGGGCGGACGCGGCAGCCCCCGAAUCGGCCAGAGUCCGGCCGCUGGACUCGCAGCAGGUCUCGGGUUUGGGGUGUCAUCCUCCUCCCUCCCCUCCCGCAUUCUACAAUCGAGGUGGAAAGGCUAUGGAGGAAAGCGGAGAAGGGAGGGAGGAGGGUGUAUAGUGAUUUUAGCACCUUCCCCUCUAUAUCUACUAAACAGAAAUAUUUGAGACGUGUGGGCUCCGAGGCUGAAAAACGUGACGGCAUACUUUGCACCCACAGAAAAAUGAAAGGGGGAGGGAGAAGAAAAGUGAUAGAAAUACAUCACUUCAGAAGCACGUUGUUCUAAAAGAGAAGAGUCUCUGACGUCACGCAAAACCUAUUCAAAUUAACCUGCCCCUAAGUUUAACAUCAAUUUUCGGGAACCUUUCCCCUGGCUUGGAAAACAGACUCUCCAGCAUCCCUCUCAGUCUUGCUUAACAGAAGCAAAACUUUGGAAGGCUUUCCAGCAGCGGUUACGCCUGCUUGCAACAUUUCUGUAUAUUUCUGCGGGGAAGGGAAGGAAAUGAAUGGUUUUAAUCUGAAGGAUCAAUGUUGUAUCAGCUAAGAUUUCCCCCCACCCUCCUUCGUCACUGAAGGGCUGACAUGUGAUUACAGGUAGAAAACCCCACAAGCGUAUUCCGGGGAAAGAUUGAAAGGACGUGACUUUUAACGUUAAACCGACUUCGAUCCCACGGCAAACCUCUUCUGGAAAAGUCAGCCUUUCGAGGCCGUAUCCAGCCUGUCUGUGCUCCGAGGUGCACACAGCUUGGAAGGGGAAUGGGGGUAGAGGGGUAUAACUUCAACGUGCCAAGUACUAUUUCGCACCCAAGAACAAACACGUUUUUCUCGGCGUUUAGUUGUUUCCCCCGGUCUACGGCGGGACCACGGACUGAAGGGGGGCCUGGGAAGGAGUCUCAUCUCCAUUAUCUCAUCUCCAUCACUCCCUUCUCUCCAACCCACGGCUGCCACUAGAACCCCUACCCUCUGGGAGGCUGGAUGUGGCCCUCGGAGCUGGAAGACUGCCUCCCAGAAACGAAUCUGCCCACACUGACAGCUCGAUUGAGGGUGAUUGAUGACUAUCUGGAGACCACAGUACACAUAAUAUAAUAUCUGCUGCGUAAUUGCUUUAAUUUACAGAUGAAAAUACUAGUUCCUGGAUUGAGUUAGACUACAACGAGUGGCAUUUUAUGGCGCUUUAGAAUGUUUGCAAAUAAAAGAUAUCGGAUACAGUACUUGCAAAUUACCCCUACAGCUCAGGAUCUGUAAGCCAGGAGAGAGUUAUAAAGAAGGGGAAUCAAAUGACGUUAAUAAUCGGGUUUGAAUUCUGUAUUGAUUUUUCGGGUGUGUGUGUGUAAGAAAGUGCCUAUUCUUUCCUCACCUGAAAUGCUAAUACCGUCACCCUUCUUGGAAUAUUAAUAACUUAGCCACUGGGUUUCUGUUAUAGAAACACUCCCUUAUUCCUUCUGCGACCCUCAUGCUGCAAGGGUAUGACACUUUUAGCUACUAUUUACAAGCAGCUUCCUCCUCUGCGACGCGCUGACGGGCUCCUGCAUUGUUUGGGAAGACACACGGUGUUUACACAAUGGUCUGCACGCAGCGUUUCGUGCUGCUCUCUCUGCCUCCUGAGCCGAUUAUUGCGCUGGGGGAUGUUUAUUUAAGCCCUGGAGUAUCACUCACCGGUGCUAGGGAAGAAAACAGUUGCACUUAUCUCAAGAGCGGCUCGGUGUAAAGCACUAUAAUUAGCUGGGAGAGCUAAAGAACUGCCUAGAGAAGUCCUCCCAGUUUUCCAGGCUACGGUUUGGGAGAUGUCCUGGUGUGUGUGGUUUUUUUCCUUCUCUCUUUUGAUAUUACUGCAGAUGUCAAAUCUGCAGUGGCCCACAGAACACUACAGGUUUUGAUAUUUAGAUGAGUCUAUUAAACUUUAAAAUACAAGGUGAAAUUCAAUAUUUAUAGUCCUUGUCUAUUUAUAUAUCACAGUUGUCUUUCACUGCACCAUAGAAAUACUCUGGUGCCCAUUUUUGCACUGAACUUUCCUGUAUUAAUCAUGAUAAUUAUUUGUCAUUUUUCUUUUCAGCCUGCCUGCUCUAUUACUUUACCCCUGGUCAGCUUUGUGUCAGUUCCAAUCUGUAUUCCCUAGAAAGCAGUCAUUAAAAAAACCAAACAAACAUCAAAACAAAUAACAACAACAAAACUUUAUAACCUUAAACACUUAAUAACCUUAUGCACUAAAAGCUGACAUUACGUCUUCCUCCGGCGUUUAUGCCUUGUCUCACUUACCAUUACAAAUAAUGGCCCUUUGUUGAUAAGAAACUUGAUACAAUUAUAUUUCAUCUUGAAUUUUUGGUGCCAGAGCACAAACAUGCAAUAAGCCCCACAAUGAUUUAAAAUAACCUUUGUGGUUCUUGCAUAUAAACAACGUAACACUGUUCAAAUCCAAGCAAAGACGCUUAAUGCUGUGGGCUAUAUCCUUAAGCAUUUGGAAAAUGCAAGUCUUUGCUGUGCAAUAAAAAUUGAUCCUUGUCAAAGCCCCUUUCCUGUACAAAGCGGUUAACAGCUUUCAAGAAGGAGAAACACACACUGCUUUCUCCAAAGUUUGAGCAAGUAAACCCACUGCGAUCAAUAGGAAAUGCUGGAGAGUUCCCCUGUCAUAAAAGCCAGCCUGCACACCCAAGCGAGCAGGUAUUUUACAGCCAAAGCCCAACCACCUCUGUCUCUGAGGGUUAUGUGUUUCUUCUCCGAGAACCUGGAGCCAACGUUCAUACAAGUUUUGUCAUAAAAGUAUGAAAUGAGAAAGAAACGCUGUGAUGCUGGAACAGGCCACAGCAGGUAAAACAGAGAACCUCUUCGGGACUAAUGCUUUGAUGGACGUCUUCAGGGACAUGAUCUAGAGGCGGUUAAUGCAGCUACACUUUUACUAUCUGCAUUUUCAUCACCUCCUCUUUUGGAGGGUUUAUUGCCGCUCCUGGAAAUAUUUCAGCGACGGAAUUUGCUUAUGGGCUAAACAGACUUUAGCGAGCUCUUUCAGUCGACUUGCUUUGUUUUCAUGUUACAGAUUUAAAGCAACCUUGACACCGCCUGACAAACGCUGUGAAGCUCUACAUGUUGCCCAUUUGGGAUCUGACAUGGAACCGAGGGCAGCCUACAACAUUUUCAAGUAGAUUAGCUCACAUAAAGUCGCUAUCGACAGUAAAUACGAUUGGGUUUGGUUUUUUUUUUUUUUUUUUCCCUGAGCCCACCUGAGGUGUAAUUGCAUCUCCUGCACUCUGAAUGGAAGGACAGCGAGCUGGUCCUGCCGACCUGCACAAACCUAGGCAAUAGCUUGUGAUCGGCAGAGCUAUGAUGACAAGCAUAACAGUUGCAUAAGAAGGCACCGCUAAUUAAUUUACUCAGAUUACAACUACACAUAAAAUCAGCUGUUCAAAGAUAUCCGUUUGAAUGCUUUCCCUUCGUAAGUCUUCAAUCCUCUUGGCAAACAGUUUAGAUUAAAGCAGAAAGGCCUCACAUGCUCGUUCUGUUCUUUGUGUUUAUUAACUUUUCACACUUAAGGACCAGAGCCAACACACGCGCUCUCUCACACCCACCCAGCCCAAACUUUUCAGCAAGAGAACCAAACGCUGCGAAAGGAGCAGCUGCUGUCCGGCUAGACAGACCCUACAACAAAUCCACAUCGCACCCGCCCGGUGCAGAGCAUCGCAACUACGCCUUCACCAGCUAAGCAAAGAUUGUGUAAGGUUUUCUCUUUCCAGCCUCUGAAUCCCCCGGUGCCGCAGGCUCCCAGGCGUUCAAACACCACCGCCUUCGAGCUCUCUGGCAGCGGACAGCUUUAACAUACUUCCCUGCGACGAUAAAACUUUCCUCACUUGCAAGGUCAAAUUCUACUCCUUUUAAAGUUUUCCCUUAAAAUCCAGAAAGUUUGACU